UCCUAACCUGAUAUUUUUUUCUAGGUGACAAUCACCAUCAUGCUGCAAGUUCAUGGCAUCAGCCUCACAAACAACAGGAAACUCCAGAUCAACAACAAGCAAAGCACGUGAAAUCGUGUCCGAUUGUCUGCUGGGAUAGAGUCCAUGAUUGAUACUGAAAGAAGCCUGAAGAGACACCCUUCGGCUCAGUGCUUCUCCACUACAUGCAGCCAUGACUUUCCUUCUGGUGGCUGGAGACCAAGAUGGAGAGAGGGAGAAAAAUCUUGUGGGACCAGGUAUGGACUUUUACUUGCUCUCUAGAUCUUGUCCAAUAAGUUUCUCGAUACAUAUGUAUGUGAUGGGGUUGACAGUGAAGCAAAGUUGGCUAUGGGUGAACAACUAGCUGUGUUUGCUGGACUUAGGAGGGACAAGAUAAUUAACUGCCUUAAUGAGGCAUCAGGAAGGCCAACUUUAACAUGCAAUCCUAGAAAUCUCUAACUCCACCGUACCACAUUUACAAUGAUUGCUCACCCUCUGCCUUUCCCCACUGCGCCCCUCCUCCUCCUCCUCCUUACAACGUCCACUUCGUGUCCCUCAUGCUGCUUCUUGAACCAAACAUAUCUCCUUCAGCUACAUCAUGUAUGCACGCCUGGCAUUCGCUGAAAUGUCAAUUAAUCCACAAUUCGAGUGGGUCUACCUUCAGUACAACAGUGGGAAAAUUGGCAAGGCAGCAACUGAUUUUGUUUCCAUUGCUCUUGCCCCAUCUCAUUUCCAUUUCGUCUCCAUUGUGGACGUGCUUUGCUUGCAACUGAUUUAAGGUGAAUCCAUCUGACCACAAAAGCCUCCUUAGUAGUUUUGUUUCAACUGCGACUGGAGCAUGCAGCUCUUGCAUGGGGCCUGGAGAAAUUUUAUAUCUAACCACUCACCAAAUAUAAAACUAAAUGGAUAGAGGGCUAGAAGAAGAAGCAUGGUUGCUUGUUUGGUGGAUCUGUACUAUGGAUGUUGUGCUUGUGUGAAUAAAUGCACCAGUCGGGUCCAUUUUGUGUGCCGUAGAUGAGAGUGCCGCACUGAUAUGUCUUGUCAUUCAUGCAAUGUCCAGCUGUGCCAAGAACAAUAAAAGGAAGAAAUUAAUAUAUUUAGCAGUAUUUGAAUAGAGAAGCCUAGAGUUUUACUUGGUUGCAUUAGAUUCUAAGGCCACUAUCAUGGCCUAAUACCUGAUACACUCAAGAAAUUGAAAUAUUCAGCAGUGAACCAGUAAAUGAUCACUGAUGCCAUUGAAGAGAGAAAAAGGUAGGAAAAUGAUGUGCGGAUUGAGGUGUCAAAUCCUUUUGGUUAUUGCUUCUGCUCUUUAAUGUUUCUCCACUGGAGAGGAGGAUGACUUUUGGAGGAUGUGGGGGAACUCUGUUCCCCUUGGUGGCAAUUACUGAAAGCCAAAAUAUUACAGCUCCUGCGCUAUUUGCCCCCACAGAUCUAGCCAAUAAAUUGUCUGGAUUCUUGUCAGAUUUGUGACUAGUUCAUGAAUUUAAAAUUACAGAAUUCUUUUAAAGACGUAUUUAAUUUUCAGAUUUUUUAAUAGGCACAUUUAUUUUCUAUUUUACUUAUUCCUCUAAUGACUGUGGUGUUGUAUUCAAAGAAUAAUAAUAUUGUGUGGUGCUUGAUAAAUCCUAAAACUAAUAUUAUUAUGGUGCUUAUUUUUAAAAUUUUGAAUGCAGCACCAUAGUAAUUGACAGGAGGGGUUAAAUGAGAACUAAGUGCGGCAUUUAGGAAAUAUAGAAGUUAAAUGUGUCUUUUGAGAAUUUCAUAACUUUAAGUGCAUCUUUAGUCAAUUGUCGGAUUUAACUAAAUUUGUUUUGCAGCUGCUUGGAGAUGCUGUAGCAUGAUGAUGAGUGUAAUCCAUGAAGCAAGUUUAGGACCAGGUACUUUUCUUGGCCGGUCCCAUGAUUUGUCUGGAGCACCUUACCUUGUUUGCCAUCCAUCAGCUUGAGAAGGUUUCUUUGGAAGUGAGCACAGGGCUCGGAGUCGCGAAGAAGCACUCCUCAAGAGAGCGAUCUCAUUGUCGUCGUCCUCCUCCUCGGCGAGCUUCAUCUUGAGAGUUUCGAAUUUGGCGGUUGGACAUUUCAACCG